GGAUGUAGCUCAGUGGUAGAGCGCAUGCUUUGCAUGUAUGACGCCCUGGGUUCAAUACCCGGCAUCUCCA
rnacentral:tRNA from 1 species